rnacentral:tRNA from 1 species
CAUUUGAUAUCUUAAGAAAAAGAAUUGAUUUUUUAAAUCAAAAUAUAGUAUAAAGUAAUUUACUUCAAAUGA